CAGCUCGUCAUGCUAGAGCACUUUUUCAAUGGGCUCCCCAACGACAUGGCAACGACGCAUUCGUAUGUCAUCCAUAUGAACUUUCGAUGACACUUUCUGCGCCUACCAUGGUGACCACGGGUAACGGGGAAUCACGGUUCGAUUCUGGAGAGGAAGACUGAGAAACGGCUACCGCAUGCAAAGAAGACAGCAGGCGCGCAAAUGACCCACUCCCGACAUGGGAAGUUAAUGA